rnacentral:rRNA from 1 species
GGAAGCGUCUGGAAAGGCGCGCGAUACAGGGUGACAGCCCCGUACACAAAAGCGCAUGUGCUGUGAGCUCGAUGAGUAGGGCGGGACACGUGGUAUCCUGUCUGAAUAUGGGGGGACCAUCCUCCAAGGCUAAAUACUCCUGACUGACCGAUAGUGAACCAGUACCGUGAGGGAAAGGCGAAAAGAACCCCGGCGAGGGGAGUGAAAAAGAACCUGAAACCGUGUACGUACAAGCAGUGGGAGCCCCACCACUAAGCCAGUGGUGAACUCCACAUACGCAUCCUUUGCUGAGGAUACGGUUAACGGAGCGAAAGCGACGUUCAACCUCAAAAGAAGCAGAGGGGGCUUAGUGGUGGGGUGACUGCGUACCUUUUGUAUAAUGGGUCAGCGACUUAUAUUCUGUAGCAAGGUUAACCGAAUAGGGGAGCCGGAGGGAAACCGAGUCUUAACCGGGCGUUAAGUUGCAGGGUAUAGACCCGAAACCCGGUGAUCUAGCCAUGGGCAGGUUGAAGGUUGGGUAACACUAACUGGAGGACCGAACCGACUAAUGUUGAAAAAUUAGCGGAUGACCUGUGGCUGGGGGUGAAAGGCCAAUCAAACCGGGAGAUAGCUGGUUCUCCCCGAAAGCUAUUUAGGUAGCGCCUCGUGAAUUCAUCUCCGGGGGUAGAGCACUGUUUCGGCUAGGGGGCCAUCCCGGCUUACCAACCCGAUGCAAACUGCGAAUACCGGAGAAUGUUAUCACGGGAGACACACGGCGGGUGCUAACGUCCGUCGUGAAGAGGGAAACAACCCAGACCGCCAGCUAAGGUCCCAAAGUCAUGGUUAAGUGGGAAACGAUGUGGGAAGGCCCAGACAGCCAGGAUGUUGGCUUAGAAGCAGCCAUCAUUUAAAGAAAGCGUAAUAGCUCACUGGUCGAGUCGGCCUGCGCGGAAGAUGUAACGGGGCUAAACCAUGCACCGAAGCUGCGGCAGCGACGCUUAUGCGUUGUUGGGUAGGGGAGCGUUCUGUAAGCCUGCGAAGGUGGCCUGUGAGGGGUGCUGGAGGUAUCAGAAGUGCGAAUGCUGACAUAAGUAACGAUAAAGCGGGUGAAAAGCCCGCUCGCCGGAAGACCAAGGGUUCCUGUCCAACGUUAAUCGGGGCAGGGUGAGUCGACCCCUAAGGCGAGGCCGAAAGGCGUAGUCGAUGGGAAACGGGUUAAUAUUCCCGUACUUGGUGUUACUGCGAAGGGGGGACGGAGAAGGCUAUGUUGGCCGGGCGACGGUUGUCCCGGUUUAAGCGUGUAGGUGUGUGUUCCAGGUAAAUCCGGUUCACUUUAACACUGAGGCGUGAUGACGAGGCACUACGGUG